CCCAGACUCCUACGGGAGGCAGCAGUGGGGGAUAUUGCACAAUGGGGGGAACCCUGAUGCAGCGACGCCGCGUGGGUGAAGAAGCGCCUCGGCGCGUAAAGCCCUGUCAGCAGGGAAGAAAAUGACGGUACCUGACUAAGAAGCCCCGGCUAACUACGUGCCAGCAGCCGCGGUAAUACGUAGGGGGCAAGCGUUGUCCGGAAUUACUGGGUGUAAAGGGAGCGCAGGCGGACUGUCAAGUUGGGAGUGAAAACUACGGGCUCAACCCGUAACUUGCUUUCAAAACUGGCGGUCUUGAGUGGUGUAGAGGUAGGCGGAAUUCCCGGUGUAGCGGUGGAAUGCGUAGAUAUUAGGAGGAACACCAGUGGCGAAGGCGGUCUGCUGGACAGCAACUGACGCUGAGGCGCGAAAGCGUGGGGAGCAAACAGGAUUAGAUACCCCAGUACAA
rnacentral:rRNA from 1 species